AACAAAGUGCCUGAAAAAGGGAUAUCUUGAUAGGGUAUAUUAUGAUUUAUUUCCUUUGUUA
rnacentral:tRNA from 1 species